UCUUCGGCAAUGGGGGGAACCCUGACCGAGCAACGCCGCGUGAGUGAAGAAGGUUUUCGGAUCGUAAUGCUCUGUUGUAAGAGAAGAACGUGUGUGAGAGUGGAAAGUUCACACAGUGACGGUAACUUACCAGAAAGGGACGGCUAACUACGUGCCAGCAGCCGCGGUAAUACGUAGGUCCCGAGCGUUGUCCGGAUUUAUUGGGCGUAAAGCGAGCGCAGGCGGUUUGAUAAGUCUGAAGUAAAAGGCUGUGGCUUAACCAUAGUAUGCUUUGGAAACUGUCAAACUUGAGUGCAGAAGGGGAGAGUGGAAUUCCAUGUGUAGCGGUGAAAUGCGUAGAUAUAUGGAGGAACACCGGUGGCGAAAGCGGCUCUCUGGUCUGCAACUGACGCUAGGCUCGAAA
rnacentral:rRNA from 1 species